rnacentral:rRNA from 1 species
AACGAACGCUGGCGGCAUGCCUAACACAUGCAAGUCGAACGAGACCUUCGGGUCUAGUGGCGCACGGGUGCGUAACGCGUGGGAAUCUGCCCUUGGGUUCGGAAUAACAGUUAGAAAUGACUGCUAAUACCGGAUAAUGUCUUCGGACCAAAGAUUUAUCGCCCAGGGAUGAGCCCGCGUAGGAUUAGCUAGUUGGUGAGGUAAAGGCUCACCAAGGCGACGAUCCUUAGCUGGUCUGAGAGGAUGAUCAGCCACACUGGGACUGAGACACGGCCCAGACUCCUACGGGAGGCAGCAGUGGGGAAUAUUGGACAAUGGGCGAAAGCCUGAUCCAGCAAUGCCGCGUGAGUGAUGAAGGCCUUAGGGUUGUAAAAUCUUUUGCAGGGGAAGAUAAUGACGGUACCCUGCGAAUAAGCUCCGGCUAACUUCGUGCCAGCAGCCGCGGUAAU